rnacentral:rRNA from 1 species
UACGUAGGGUGCGAGCGUUGUCCGGAAUCAUUGGGCGUAAAGCGCGUGUAGGCGGUUCAGUAAGUCCGCUCUGAAAGCCCAGGGCUCAACCCUGGGAGGCGGGUGGAUACUACUGAACUAGAGUACGGAAGAGGAGAUUGGAAUUCCUGGUGUAGCGGUGAAAUGCGCAGAUAUCAGGAGGAACACCAACAGCGAAGGCAAAUCUCUGGGACGUAACUGACGCUGAGACGCGAAAGCGUGGGGGGCAAACAGG